AUGACGAGUUUACCACCACCCAAAUGGUCCUGCCGUGACAUGAUAUUAUACUUAGGUUAAACGUAUUAUAUGAUUUGACUUUAUAAUCCGGCUCCGCAUAUAAAUAGGCCACAGCAUGAGUUUACACUCCUUGCUAUCAAAAACCCACUUCCGAGUCCUAAGAUCUUAAAAAAAAACACAUUUCGUGCUGUUCUUUUUCCCAUGGACUUCAAGAGUUGGUGGAGCUCAGAUGCUAAUAACUUCAGGUCGAGCCUGAAGCAUGUGAAAAAUGGCUACGAAAGGGUUGUGUCAUUGGAUAUAAUGGUGGCCGGAUCCAGGAUAUCAAGGUGGAGAAUGCUAUGGAGAAGAUUGAAGAAGGAAAAGAAGAAGUAUUUCGGUUGUACUGCUUCGAAUAUAAAGCAGGUCCCUUCCUAUGAUCCUUAUACGUACUUGCAGAAUUUUGAUCAGGGAUCGAUGUGGGCUGACCCAGAUAACCACUUUCGAUCAUUCUCAGCUCGGUUUGCUGUUCCGUCAAGGAUUUUCCAGAAGAGUGAAUCGGCUUGCUGAUGGGAGCUGAAACGAGAAAGAAAACAAAAUGCUUCAGGGUAUUCUUGGGCCUGGCAUCAUGCGUCAUUAAUUGAAGUUGCAGCUAUCCAUUGCAAGCAAGAACCAUUAUUGUAUUUUGUGCUUUUUUUAUCCCUUUGGAUUUGGGGAUCACUUUAAUAAUUGUGAUGCUGAAAAGUAAAGUUUUAGCUCGAAGGAAAGCUCUCAAGUGUUGAUUAAGUUUAGCCGUUAAAACAAGAAUGCUUUUUUAUAUUGUCAUUUCCAUGGUGCUGAAAUCGGUCUACAGAGAGAACUGAAGGGAUUAUUAUGCAGACCUUGCAAAGACAGUGAUCUUUGCUUUGAGCUAAAUUUCUAGAAUUAUGUAAAAAAAUCUCUUGUAAUAAAUAUCCCGGAUUUUAGUGAAUAGGCUCCCACAUUGUUAAGGAGAAAAACUUCUUACCCUUUAUAAUGAGUUUUAAA